GAUCAUAAGAGACUCGGUGUCCAUAUUUGUCAAAAGUAUAGGAUUACUACAUGUAGCAGCUUUGAUAAAAACCAUGAUUCGCACCAUUAACAAGGAUUGAUACAAGAAAAUGUUGGCAUGCAAUUAACAAAACCAUAGACUAACCUCAGAUUAUGGUUGUCCAGAGAUAAUUCAACCAAAUUCAAAAUCAUCUCGAAUCACAUAUGUAACAUUUUAACAGAGCUGAACAACAGCAGGGGAAACAGCUAGUGAAUGCCUUCUUUCUUUUUCCCCUACUUCCCAGCAGAAUCAGGGGAGCCAUCUCCAUAGGAAACCAAACCCUUCUUCCCUUCAGGACUCACCGACAUAGACCGGGACCUGUCGUUACUUGCACGUUUUGGAGAUGGGGAGGCAAUGGGGGAGCGAUCCUGCACAGGUGGUGGGGACCUUGAUCUUGACCCAGACAGGCUCCUGCUCCUGGAGAGCGACCGUGCACGAUCACCGCGGGAACUUGGUUUCCCACCAGGAGGCGAACGACUACGUACUGGACUCCUGCUGUAGCCACCUCCCCUUGUGCGGUCUCGAUAAGCUGGUGGGCUGCGUGACACGCUUCGGCUCCUCCUUCUGUACCUGCUAGACCUCCACAGCGGAAAAACAAGAGAAAUAAGAAAUUUAACCUUACACUACACAAGGCUAUACAUAUGUGCUAUAAACUUGCAGUAUAAUUGGUUGAAAGAUGUUCAUCACCACACAACACAAUAAUCAACAAAAUCCGUGUCAAGAAGAUGCAAGCACAACAUGAUGUUCUUUAUCCGAUAACACAAUAGUUGAGAACAGUGAUACACUACGACAAAUUUCCUUACAAGUUUGUAAUAAUGCAGAAACUGAAUGUUCAAUUACAUCAUUUGUGUGGAGUCAGAAUUGGAAGAUUAAGAGAUAACAAAGUUAGAUGUCCUUUUCCUAAUUGUUUAUAAGAUAA
rnacentral:lncRNA from 1 species